CCUACGGGUGGCUGCAGUGGGGAAUAUUGGACAAUGGGCGAAAGCCUGAUCCAGCCAUGCCGCGUGUGUGAAGAAGGCCUUCGGGUUGUAAAGCACUUUCAGUGGGGAAGAAAGCCUUGGGGCUAAUACCCUCGAGGAAGGACAUCACCCACAGAAGAAGCACCGGCUAACUCCGUGCCAGCAGCCGCGGUAAUACGGAGGGUGCGAGCGUUAAUCGGAAUUACUGGGCGUAAAGCGCGCGUAGGCGGUCUGAUAAGCCGGUUGUGAAAGCCCCGGGCUCAACCUGGGAACGGCAUCCGGAACUGUCAGGCUAGAGUGCAGGAGAGGAAGGUAGAAUUCCCGGUGUAGCGGUGAAAUGCGUAGAGAUCGGGAGGAAUACCAGUGGCGAAGGCGGCCUUCUGGACUGACACUGACGCUGAGGUGCGAAAGCGUGGGUAGCAAACAGGAUUACAUACCCCAGUAGUC
rnacentral:rRNA from 1 species